rnacentral:lncRNA from 1 species
GAUAUCACCAAGUAUACCUAUAACCGAGGUUCGCCAAGCGUCCUUGUGGGUGAUGCACUCUACUUUGACUUGGAUGGCAUUAUCAAGUGCCAACUUGGUACACUUCGCUUGUCAAUGUUUGAGAGGCCGACCGAUGCCAAGGGGCAUGUCAUGACGGCGGAAGAUGGGGGGCUCGGAUUCGCUGCCGUGGUUGAUGUCACAAACCUGACCAUUUGGUCAAUGCAGACCGGACCAGAGGGAGCCAUGGGAUGGGCAAAACUCAGGGUAAUCGAUCUUACGACGCUGCUCCCUGACAGGGCCCUUUCGAUUCCAGCACCUGAAGAUGGAAUUAGUGGCAUCGCCGAAGGCACCCAAAUCAUUUUUGUGAGCUCAUGUGUUGGUACCUAUAUGGUCGAUCUCAAGUCAAGGCGAGUUAGGAAGGUAUCUGAUCCUGGCAGAAAAGUCUUUCCCUACAUGAGAUUCUACAUCCCAGGAAUUAUUACUUAUGUAAAUAUAUACAACCCUGCAAAAUCCCGUUUUACGAUCUGUCAGUCCAUAUUUUCUUAAUGAUCCUCUGAACUUGUGGAUUUACCUGGCGUGUUUGUGCCUUGUGGUCGGUGUGUAAGCAAAAUGUACAUUCAGUUAAACCUGAUUCAUCAAUCAGUUGAUUUUAUGUUCUAAUUUCUUGCAUUUCUGCAGCAAUGGAAGCAGCUUCUAUGGGCCAGGGGCAGUGAGCUGGUGCUUUAGUGUUUGUCAAGCUCUACUUGCUGGAGCAAGUUGGUGGAGGUGGAAGUAGUGAUGUUUUGCACAAGUAUGGCUCUGCAUCUGUGAGGUUACUGCUGGUGUUAGUUUUGGGCUCUGGAACUUCGUUAGCAAGUUGUUGCUUCCGUGCUUUGCAGUUUGUAAAGAUCUUUUCAGUCAUUUUGUGAUCUUGUGAAAUAUGCUGACACGAGCGCGACUCAAAGAUUGUUUGCCAUGGGAAAAGACCUGAAUGGUUUCGAAAUCUAAGUGUGGACACUUAUUAGGUACUCCCUCCGUUCCAUAAUUCUUGUCGUGGUUUUAGGUCAAAACUGAUUCUUGUCGUGGAAAGGAGGGAGUACUUUCUAAUAAGCAGGUUCUAACUUGAUCUUGGAAAAAUA